rnacentral:rRNA from 1 species
UACGUAGGGACCGAGCGUUGUCCGGAUUCAUUGGGCGUAAAGAGCUCGUAGGCGGCUGUUCAAGUCGAACGUGAAAACUCGGAGCUCAACUCCGAGCCUGCGUUCGAUACUGGACGGCUAGAGUCUGGUAGGGGGAUCUGGAAUUCCUGGUGUAGCGGUGGAAUGCGCAGAUAUCAGGAGGAACACCAAUGGCGAAGGCAGCACUCUGGGACGUGACUGACGCUGAGACGCGAAAGCGUGGGGAGCAAACAGG